AUUUUGGGCAGCCUGCCCUUCACUUUGGAUUGUGUAAGAAAUUCCACAUCUUUGUGAAAUGUCUGUUUUCUGCUAAACUCAAUGGUCACAGAACAGACACUGCACUCUCAGUGCUGCUUGAAAAUUAGGGGUUACUUACAAUGUAAUUUUGUUAGGUUUAUAGUUUAUAAAUGAAGUUGCUGCUCCAGAAAAGUAUAUUUUUAAAUUGUUUGGAUAAGUGAUGGCUGCAUACCUUUUUGUUGAAAACUUUUUAAAGAUUUCAGGGCUCAGACUGAGUGCUUAUCAAAAAAUAUUUCAGGCCUAUUUGAUGUGGUUUUCAUCUAUAACUCAAGAUGACUGGAUGGUCUCCUAGUUUUGGAUGGGGGUUUUUGUUUUUAUUUCUAAAGAAAUCAAUUGUAGUUCUGUCAGAGUGGCACAACAAAGAAGUAGCUGUGCUUCCACCUCAGACACAGGCCUCCUGGAAUGGAUUAAACAGAGUUAGGAGCUGUGAUGUCCUUCUUUGUAGUCCUGCAAUUUUUCAACCAAAGCAAUAUCUCAGUGAGAUUUCUGCUUCUUUUUGGGAAAGGACAUCUAACACUUUUAAAGUAGUAUGAAUCCAAUUAGUAAAUGGAAAGUCACAGAAAAAACUAGGGCUCUAAUUUGUGAAGGUCUGCUGACUUCCUUGCUUUAUUUAUGCAAAGGAUCUUUUUAGGAGCCCGAUGACACUUAGCUCUGGAGAGGAAGAAAAUUAAAUUUAGCUUUAAUGUGUAAUGGUAGCUUUUGCUGUUUUCAGUGUGGAACUUCAUGAAAUUAAGUAUGUUCUGCCAUGUCCCUUUAACACUGAUUCCACUGCUAUCAAGUAUUUUAUAGUGGGGCCCAGCAUGCUGUCCUUACCUGUUCUGCAAAGUAAACUCUCCCAGGAGGAGAGUUACAUCCCAAAGUCUCUUUGAACAGACCUCAAGCAUUCCAGAUGUGGCAGGGGUCACUGUCCCUGCUUCAGGCACUUCAGUGAAGAACUGAGGGUGAGCAGCACUAUUGUUUGUGACCCAAUCUGUAAUAAUUGAGAACAACAUGAUUCAGGUUGUCAAAGAACUGCAACACUUUCCUCUGUUUCUUGGGGGAAUGGAGAGUUCAGGUCGGCAAAAGGAGGGGGCAAAUGAUGAGAAAUUACUUUGCAGAUGUCCUUUACUGAUCUUUCUUUUCAGAAAAAAAAGUAAAAUUGAUACUUAGGAAGUAUAACAUUGUUUGUCAAUACUGGGAUGCUCCAUCCCUGGAAGCGUUCAGGCCAGGCUGGAUGGGGACAUGAGCAGCCUUAUCUCAUGUGUGGCAUCCCUGCCCAUGGCAGGGAGAUUGGAGCCAGAUGAUCUUGAAGGUCCCUUCCAACCCAAACCACUCUAUAUUACAAUGAACCUUGAGAUUUCUUUUGCCAGACAGGGAAUUUUCUGUCUUGCAAGGUAAAUAAUGGGAGCACCACAUUCAGUGGAGCAUCCCUUUCCUGCCUUAAUAUAAGGAAGGCUUUAAGAUGCAAGAUUCUUUGUUUUCUGCAGGUUAAGAUGCAACCAGCACACCACAUCCAGCUGUCCAGGAGUAGCUGUGACUGUUUUUCUCUGUGUAUUUCUCUGCUAUUCUGUUAAUUGAGCUGACAUACUCCUCUGUAAGCUCUUGCCAUGGCUUCUGACUCCUGAAUUAGUGUUACUGGUGGGUAACAGCUGUCUGUCUGACAGUCUGUCUGUCCCUAGGUGUAGCUACACAGGUGCAUCUGGAUAGGGCAUGAUUACAUGGAAGAUGGACUGAGAGAAACCUGAAAUAAAGGCUCCGUUUUCCACAGCCAGUGAUGCAUCUCCCAUUGAAUUUUAUGCAUGCAGAAGGAUCAGACUCGAAAUAGGGUAGCGUAAUAUUCCUUUUUCCAUAAAGAAUACGUUUCUAUGUGAGCAAUUCAGGCGAUUCGUGGAACAAGAAGCAGAGGACUGAUCACCAAGGGGCUUUUGUGAGCUGCCAGCUGCAUGUGGAAUGUGUUCAUUAGACUUUAAGAAUAAACAGGAGAGGUUUUUGCAUGGAGUAUUUCAUUAAUCACAGCUGCUCUACUUGUAAGCACAAAUUCCCCUUCCACUUGGGGCUUUGUAAGACUGCUGGAAUCACUUUGGUCUUUCCACCUAACAGCCACUGGCUAUGCAACCAUGCAGGGUGGUUUUUGGAAGGGAAGGGUGGUGAUUCAGGCUGGAGAUUGCAUUCAGACAGUUCAGCUGCUGCUGUGGGCAGAGGCUCAUAGAUGGCUUGGCAGCCAAGGGAUUUAUUCUCAUAUUUGCUGUACUCACUGUUUGACUGUUCAGAUCCACAGCUUGUGGACCCAUCAGGAGAGUGUCCCCAACGUGGAACAGAGCUGUGUUUGAGCCUGAGGAGCAGUGGGAGCAGUGAAGGAACUCGAAUCAAGCCCUGUUCCAAAAACGAGGGGCAGCCCCACAGAACUCAGUGUUUUUUAAGAACCACUUUGGGAACUGACUGAUUUUGAACACCCUCUGCUUCUGAACCACAUUCAGUACCUUGGCAUGCACCACAUUCUGCAGUGAAGAGAGUGCAGCCCUGCACAGCCCUCCCCUGCAAAAAGUGAAAAUAGGAUGGAGGGGUCCUGUGCUUUGCUGUCUGCAGAAGCAUUUCAAAGCAGAUGAAAAGGAGCCUCAGUAAAAAUCUGUGCCACCUAUGACACUUUCAAUAAUACAUCAGUAGGGAGGUACACACGAGACCAUUGGCAGUGGAUUUUAAAACAGAAUUGCUGUCAAAGACAAAGCAGAGUGAAAUUUUGAUAGCUAGAAUAGUGUUGCAUUUGUUUUAGAAGAAUUUUCUUUUCUAAAAGGAAAAGCAAACAUAUAGGUAUAGGUAUUUUUUUUUAAAUACAGUAUUCAAACCUGUUUUUCAACUAAAUUCACUUCUCCCCCUUACUUUUUUAUGCAUGUUCAUGCAAAAGGUGUUCACUUACACAAAGUUUAUGUAAGACUUGCUCUACUUGCUAAUACAUGGUUUAUCUUUGAAGUAGCUUGUUCACAGAUGAAAAUAUUUUUGUGUUCUAUCCUCUUACUUUAAAUAUUGAAAUAGGGAAGAGGUGAACACUACAGAGAAAGGCUGUGAUUUGUUCUUCUGACAUGAGUCACUUCAUAGAAACCACAAAGGGUUUAUCAAUGAUACAUGAACAGCAAAUAGGGCUGAGUUGGAAAAGUCUGAUAUUUGCCAUUAAUAAUUCAACCAAAUGCAUUUCCACUAACUCAUAAGUGAUUUUUUUUUUUUCUCUCUAGUCAGCAGCACAAUAUUGAAACUCUGAGCUGCUGGAAUAGGUUUGUUUACAGUCUCAAUUGUGUGGGCCACUCCUCUGGAGAGGCCAGGGCAGGAAGAGGCCUUCUGGUAAAACUUUUUUGUCAGGAAGGUCCUAAUACAGUUUUUCUCACUGUAAUCUGGCAGCAUCAGUGAUAUUUUGCACCUCAGCAUUAGUGAAGCAAAUUUUCAAAAAAGCCAUUUAUUCUUCUCUGUGCCUUGUAGAUGGCCCAUAGAUGACUAGAUAAUGAAUGCCAAGCGUUGCUGGCACCUGCCAAUGAAUGUUGUAUUUCUGUCACACUUCCUUGAGCAAGAACAUGAGGGGAAAUCUUGUUGUUUGAUUGUUGAUAGCAAUUUCUGUAGCAGCUGAGUAAGAAAUCUGUAUUGCUGUCUUCUCUGCCCCCUUUGUAAAAGGAAGCAGAUGAGAUAUUCUUUCAUCUUUCUUUAUGGAACUGCCUCUAAAAAUAUAUUCUCUCAAGGAGAGCAGGAAAAAGUAUAUCUUGCAUUUUAUCUUUUUAUUAAUGUUACACUUAUCUUUGCCAGACACCCUUAAAGGAAAGAGAGAGCAAAAAGGUGAUUAAAACAGUUUUCCUGCCUCCCAGGAUGGUCCAUGUGAUACUCAGUAUAACCUUUAUAAUACAGCUUUUGGAAUUGCAUGAAUCCUUAGCGUGCUGUAGGAUCAGUGCCACUUUCAGUGCUCAGAGUGGUUGAUAUGAGCAGUAGGAUGGAGUCAGAUAUUCAACAAAAAAAAACUGACAAUAGCACAGGUUUCAGUAGUUUCCCUGCUGCUAUGCUAUUUUUUAAAAACUAGGUUAUGUUGUCUGCAUUUCUCUGCUGCCAAGACACAAAAA